GGGUUCUUUGGAAGAUUUCAGGCUUGGAUGCAGUAUGUGGCUUGUUUCCUGGCUCCUAGCAGUGCUCCCCAGUGAUAUGGUAGCAAAUACACGACAGAUGAGUAAUAAACCUUUACAUAAGGUGUUCUGGUCCCGUCUCCAUCUGCAGGGCUCAGACUGAAGUAGAAAAUGGAACAAGAGGAGAGAAAGGUAUUGAGUCAGCUUUACCAUCGCAACGAUGGCAACGCCGCCGAUCAUCAUGCACGUGGGCCAGAAGAGCGAGUGGAACAGCACGUUGGAGCUGUACAGUUUGGUCAAUAUCACGUUCUUCUGAGUGCCCUCAGGAUCAUAGAAGCAGGAGAAGCGUUGAUACUUUCGGAAGUUUUCCAUCACAACGUUCACCAUUGACAUGGAUUCCUCGUAAUUCUUGCCACACUUGGAAUCAUCCAGGCAGCACCCGAAGCGUGAGAACCGCACCCCUCUGAGCCCUGGCACCACCAUAACAUGGACAUGGUAGUACACGCGGAAGAGGUUCCUCUUCUACUGUCUGCAAAAUGGCAGGUGAGCAACAUCAACAUCACUGCAAACCCUCCGCUCCUUUAAGCUGAACCACCAACUUUCACUCAACCUUGGAAAAAAGCACUGUGUGACGAAAGACCGACCGUAUCAUUUACAUCCACCGAAAGGGACAAGGAACACAGCCGAGACAGAUGGAAAAUCAUACAUAAGCACAGUAAAAAUAAGAAAAAAAACACAUUUAAUCACAAACUCCUUAAAAGUGGAAUUGAAUUUGUGUUUAGGUGAUGAGUCAUAGUCAAGCAAAGCACAGGUGGUGUGGGGUUUUACAGCAAGGAUUGUGCUUAGAUGCUACUGCCGUCGGUCCCCCAUAACUAAGACCUCUUGAGGUUUCUUCAUCCUUCUGUAAUUUACUCUUUUGGCUGUCCAUGGUUUCUCUUCCAAACCAUCCUUUAAAGCUUGUCAGUGUUUUUCUAGUUGGGAAUGAAAUGGUAAUUCUGCCUGUCAAAAUUUUCCCUGGUGCUGGGGAGAAAAAUGUAUUGUGAAGUGGUGGAUGCCAUUGCCUUCAAAUAAGUGACGUAGAGUAAUAAUCUGAUGCUACAUUUUUAUGAUUAUUUGUCAAUCUGUGUUUAACUCUGAGAGCCGCUAUUACGAUUUGCAUUGCUCUCAAAUGGAAGCAGGCAGGAAGGCAGAAAUUGUCAUGCAGUUCCAGAACAUUACCCCAUCACACAGCAUAACUUAUGUCAGCGCGUAGACAUAAAACACAGAGCCAUCGCUCACCAGUGUCACCAGAGCAGCUAGGACAUAAAAGGGAUACAAAUGGACAAUUUAAAAACAAAUAGCUAAUUGAGAAUGGUUGCAAAUGCUUCCUAUGUGGCCUUGAGCCAAGGGUGUGAGUUAGAAAAAGAUGGACUAAAGGGUGAGUAGAAUAUUUUGCCGCAGCAGGGCAGCCUGAGCAUCAUCUUAGCAGCUGCAUUACCCUGCCUGUGUGUUUGCUGCUCUGCAGAAUGGGUUUUGAGCAUGUGUGAACUUCUGGUACAUAUGAACUUUUGGCACAGCCCAGGGACUGGGAGAGCUGGAGGGGUGCUGCGCUUGGCCAGCUGAUGCUGCACCCCAGGGCUGUCAGCACAUGGGUCACUGCUCAUCUCACAGACUCCAUCUAAUAAUUGUGAUUACCUGUGGCAACUCCCCAGACAUGAUAGCAGUGUGGAAGUGGGUGUAUUUUGUUUUUAAGGAUGUCACAGCCAUCAAAACACAAGGUCUUUCCAUCUUCUGUAAAGACAUUUAAUAGAAAGCAAGCCUCCAAGGACAAAAGGUCUUUGCUCUCAUCAUCAUUUUCAAGCUGAAGCGUUCCCUUAGCCAAAUUGCUCACAGGAUAUGGGCUGGCUGCUCUCCCUUGGUUCGACUGCCAGAGAGGAAACCUCGGCCGUGACCGUGCCUGAGGGGAACAGAGCAGAGCGGUCCCUCUGCGGAUCUGGCAGCAGGGCAGGGAUCCCACUGCAGGGUGGUCAGCAGCUCCUUAUGAGACCAUCAGAUGAAGGGAGAGGAGGGGGUGUGUUACGUUAGUCAGCCUGAAUGCUACAGCCAAGGAGAAAUACAGUGCCUCAUCACCUUCAUAAAGAAGUUCCAUAUCUUCUGCAGAGUUGCUCACAUUUGCUGCAGCCAAGACUUUCUUCUGCCAUCAUUGGAGACAGACAUUUUAGCAGCAGCUAAUGAGAAGGACGAGGCUUGCCACUUGCUUCCCACCUGCUCUGUGGGCUGCGGGGCUGUUGAGAUUCCUGUCUGCUGGGAAUAUUCAGAGUGACUUUGAACCUACAUUUUCUUCUCUGAUAUCGCAGUUAUUAUGCAGAAGUCAUACUUCUGAUAUCUACUGAUAGCAGAAGUCCUUGAAGAAUAAGGUCAAAAACCUCUCAUAUAUUAACCACAGAAUUUCUAGUGCUCAGGGGCUUUUCUACUCAGAAUCCAAUUUAUUUACAUUUUUCCUUACUGGGGAUGCUUAGUUGCAUCAAUUCUUAUUAUCUGAAGUAUUGCAAGAGGAUAUCUCCCUGGAACUCAUACAUGAACCUCUGUGGUGGUUCCUAUCACUGAGAACGGACUUCACUCAAUUCCCUACCUUGUCACCUCCAAAAGAGACCAAACUGAACUGCACCCAACCAGCGCUUUGGUUUUCCAAGCUUAUAUCAUUGUGGAAAACAUAAUGAACAGCUGAGAAGUAAUGAGAUUUUGGCUAGGUUUCCAAAGCCUAAGAAGCAGCAGCUGGGGAGCAGCAGAUUUCUCAAACAUAGUGAUGAAUGCACUUCUUGGCCUUGGUCCUACCAAAGCAGAUGCCCAAGAGAUGCUCCCCAUCCUGGAGGAGGCAAUUAUCCCCCAACAAGUGACC